rnacentral:lncRNA from 1 species
AUCAGCGACUUCUGUGACUUUCCCCCCCAUCCCUCUGCUAGAGCUUUGAUAAGCAGCCUGCUUUUGCAGACAGCGGACAGAUGCCAAAGAACAUUGAGGCUGUUCAGCGGCUGUUUGUAAGUAGAAUUUGCAGGGUGUCCAUUUUCAUCCCCCUUUAUUUCUCCCCAAACUGCCUCUCUGUUCAGAGUUGCAUUCUGAAGUUAAAUGCUGGAUUGGGUUUAAGCAUGUGCCUGUUUUUGAAAUACGGUAUCCACCAGGAAACGACAGCUAGAAUUUUGCUGGCACAGAAAUGGAAACAGGAAGAGAUGCCCACGAAAGAAGAAUGGAGGAUGAAACUGAUGGAAUACGCAGAAAUGGACAGAUUGACGGGGAGAAUUAGGAACCAACGUGACCAGAGAUUCUCCGAGGACUGGAAGAAAUUUACAGAGUAUAUCAAAAAUUUAUGUGAUGAGCAAAUAACGUUCGUUGGCUUUCAAGAAGCUCUGUGAAAUUACUGUUAGAAAUAUUGUUUAAAAAAUAUGAUGUGAUUAAGAGUAUCUGAGUGCAAUAUAAUAUUGGGAAAUGUGAGACGAGGAUAAAAAAAUAAACGGAAAAUUAUCAGACAAGCUGAGGGAAGUUCUGGAAAAAAGGGUUUAAGUUAAAAAUGGAUGUAUAAUUUUGUAAAAAUGUUUUUUUUUAUGGAAAAUCUAAUAAAAAAUAUUCAUAUAUAUAUAUAUAUAUAUAUAAAGAAACGACAGCUCACCCCUCAAUAUUCAGGGGUGUUUGGCUCCGCCCCUGGCUCCUCGUGGCACCGCUCGCAUGACAUCACAGGGCAUCGCUCACAAGACUUCAGGACAUUGAGCACAGUCCCACACAGACCCCUUCAAUCCUGUUAAGAAGAUGGCGCCUCUGGUCUGAUCAAGCAGGGUUCAUAUAAAUUAGUCAAUAUUCAACACCCCUGAAUAUUGAGGGGCUCAGCCCUCUAAGAAAAUACUUUGUGGGGUGAAGCUUCCUUGGCCCCUAGGGGUUGGUGCACUUGGAUCAGACCAAAGGCCCAUCUAGUUCAACUGUGGUGGUGCCUAUGGAAAGCCCAGAGGUUUGAGUGUAACAUUCUUCUUCCACUCACGUACCCAAAUAGCUGGUGCAUGGAGGGUAGUGUGUAACCAACAUUAGUAGCCAUUGAUAGCUUUAUCUUCUAUUGGCUUGUUAAAUUCUAAGUUGUUAAAUGUCUAAGUUGGUGGUGAUCAUCACUACCACACCCUGCGGCAGUGAAUGCCAUCAUUUAACUAUAUAAUAUGUGGAGAAUUGCAGAGGGCCUUCUCAGUAGUGGCGCCGGCCCUGUGGAACACCCUCCCAUCAGAUGCCAAGGAAAUAAACAACUCUCUGACUUUUAGAAGACAUGUGAAGGCAACCCUGUUUAGGGAAGUUUUUAAUGUUUGAUGUUUUGUCGUGUUUUAAAUAUUCUGUUAGGAGCUGCCCAGAGUGGCUAGGGAAACCCUGCCAGAUGGGCGGAGUAUAAAUAAUAAAUUAUUAUAAUAAAUUA